rnacentral:rRNA from 1 species
ACCCAAUAGAUACCCUGGUAGUCCACGCCCUAAACGAUGUCGACUGGUUGUUGGGGGUUUGACACUCUCAGUAAACGAAAGCUAAACGCGUGAAGUCGACCGCCUGGGGAGUACGGCCGCAAGGUUAAAACUCAAAGGAAUUGACGGGGACCCGCACAAGCGGUGGAUUAUGUGGAUUAAUUCGAUGCAACGCGAAAAACCUUACCUACCCUUGACAUGUCCCGAAGCCCGGUGAGAGCCGGGGGUGCCCGAAAGGGAACGGGAACACAGGUGCUGCAUGGCUGUCGUCAGCUCGUGUCGUGAGAUGUUGGGUUAAGUCCCGCAACGAGCGCAACCCUUGUCAUUAGUUGCUACAUUCAGUUGGGCACUCUAAUGAGACUGCCGGUGACAAACCGGAGGAAGGUGGGGAUGACGUCAAGUCCUCAUGGCCCUUAUGGGUAGGGCUUCACACGUAAUACAAUGGCGCGUACAGAGGGUUGCCAAGGGGUGACCUGGAGCCAAUCCCGCAAAGCGCGUCGUAGUCCGGAUUGGAGUCUGCAACUCGACUCCAUGAAGUCGGAA